rnacentral:rRNA from 1 species
GAUGAACGCUGGCGGCGUGCCUAAUACAUGCAAGUCGAGCGAACGGACGAGAAGCUUGCUUCUCUGAUGUUAGCGGCGGACGGGUGAGUAACACGUGGAUAACCUACCUAUAAGACUGGGAUAACUUCGGGAAACCGGAGCUAAUACCGGAUAAUAUUUUGAACCGCAUGGUUCAAAAGUGAAAGACGGUCUUGCUGUCACCUAUAGAUGGAUCCGCGCUGCAUUAGCUAGCUGGUAAGGUAACGGCUUACCAAGGCAACGAUGCAUAGCCGACCUGAGAGGGUGAUCGGCCACACUGGAACUGAGACACGGUCCAGACUCCUACGGGAGGCAGCAGUAGGGAAUCUUCCGCAAUGGGCGAAAGCCUGACGGAGCAACGCCGCGUGAGUGAUGAAGGUCUUCGGAUCGUAAAACUCUGUUAUUAGGGAAGAACAUAUGUGUAAGUAACUGUGCACAUCUUGACGGUACCUAAUCAGAAAGCCACGGCUAACUACGU